rnacentral:rRNA from 1 species
GUCCUACGGGAGGCAGCAGUGGGGAAUUUUGGACAAUGGGCGCAAGCCUGAUCCAGCCAAGUCGCGUGAGGGAAUAAGGCCCUACGGGUCGUAAACCUCUUUUGCCGGGGAGCAAGGGCGGGGACGUGUCCCGGCCCGGAGAGUACCCGGAGAAAAAGCAUCGGCUAACUACGUGCCAGCAGCCGCGGUAAUAAGUAGGGGGCAAGCGUUAUCCGGAUUUACUGGGUGUAAAGGGAGCGUAGACGGCAGCACAAGUCUGGAGUGAAAUACCGG